AUGCAAGUCGAGCGCGGGAAGCGAGUGGAUCCCUUCGGGGUGAAGCUCGUGGAACGAGCGGCGGACGGGUGAGUAACACGUGGGCAACCUGCCUGUAAGAUCGGAAUAACCCCGGGAAACCGGGGCUAAUGCCGGGUAAUACUUUCUUUCGCAUGAAGGAAAGUUGAAAGAUGGCUUCUCGCUAUCACUUACAGAUGGGCCCGCGGCGCAUUAGCUAGUUGGUGAGGUAACGGCUCACCAAGGCGACGAUGCGUAGCCGACCUGAGAGGGUGAUCGGCCACACUGGGACUGAGACACGGCCCAGACUCCUACGGGAGGCAGCAGUAGGGAAUCUUCCGCAAUGGACGAAAGUCUGACGGAGCAACGCCGCGUGAACGAUGAAGGUCUUCGGAUCGUAAAGUUCUGUUGUUAGGGAAGAACAAGUACCGUGCGAAUAGAGCGGUACCUUGACGGUACCUAACGAGGAAGCCCCGGCUAACUACGUGCCAGCAGCCGCGGUAAUACGUAGGGGGCAAGCGUUGUCCGGAAUUAUUGGGCGUAAAGCGCGCGCAGGCGGUUCCUUAAGUCUGAUGUGAAAGCCCACGGCUCAACCGUGGAGGGUCAUUGGAAACUGGGGAACUUGAGGACAGAAGAGGAGAGUGGAAUUCCACGUGUAGCGGUGAAAUGCGUAGAUAUGUGGAGGAACACCAGUGGCGAAGGCGACUCUCUGGUCUGUUUCUGACGCUGAGGUGCGAAAGCGUGGGUAGCAAACAGGAUUAGAUACCCUGGUAGUCCACGCCGUAAACGAUGAGUGCUAGGUGUUAGGGGGCUUCCACCCCUUAGUGCUGAAGUUAACGCAUUAAGCACUCCGCCUGGGGAGUACGGCCGCAAGGCUGAAACUCAAAGGAAUUGACGGGGGCCCGCACAAGCGGUGGAGCAUGUGGUUUUAAUUCGAAGCAACGCGAAGAACCUUUACCAGGUCUUGACAUCCUUGGACAAUCCUAGAGAUAGGACUUUCCUUCGGGACAGUGACAGGUGUGCAUGCGUCGUCAGCUCGUGUCGUGAGAUGUGGUUAAGUUCCGGCAACGAGCGCCAACCCUAUCUAGUGCAGCAUCAGUGUGCUCUAGGUGACUCCCGGU
rnacentral:rRNA from 1 species